rnacentral:sRNA from 1 species
GCUGUAUGCAAACAUGUCAAGCUAUCAAAGGAGCUGCCUUUUGGUUUCAUUAAUUUUGUUGUGUGCAGCUUCCACUGAAGGCUUCAGGGCACCUGAUCUCUUGUGUGUGUUGAGAAAGAGCAAGUGCUUGGCCAGGACACAGCCCUUUUUCUUGUACCCUGAGACAUCCUAAGACACUGGCUGUUUCACCUGCCCCAGUGUAUUUGCUGUCUUCAUCAGCUCUCUUUCUCCCCCUGACAUUCUUGCCUGGCAUUUUGAGUCAGCCUGAGUAUAAUCUGAACCGAAAUGAAAUGCUGUCUGGAAAUCUUACCAAAGAAGCACAGUCCCACUUCGUGCUUCCAUCUCCCCACAUCCCAAGGACCACCGCCUACUUUAAGAGAACACAGACAAUUCACCUCUAUAAAGGCACAGCAAGGAAAAGGAGUAGGCAGAGGUGACAGCAGAUCAUGGGGCUUCUCUUGAAAGGAAGACACCUCCCAGUGAUGAACCCUCAUCAUCCAUUUACUGACUUAUCCUUAUGUCACUAGGAUCUGAACGUCUAUGACACUCUUUCGAGCUGACACAGUGAAGAACAUGGAAGGAGAACUCACCCAGUCUGCCAGGGUCACAGAUGAUCAUACUCAAGAUCUUCCUGGGGAGUCAAUGGCAAAUUUCACUGGGCUAUUUUACAGAUGAAGAAGGAACAUAAAGAAGGUUCUGGGACCCUGAAGUCCACGGAACACCCACCAUUACCUGAUCUUUGGAGCUUGUCAUUUGGCCAGUGGACCCUAAUAAACACGUCCAGGGGGAGGUGGGGAUAGAAUGCCAGAGCCUGGCUCGCUAGGGCAUCCAGGUUCUUCCUCUUUGCCCUGCUGUCUCCAGGCACCAAGAAUCUCCUACAGUUCCCCAAAGAUGAACCCCCCAUUGUCUCAGGUCACUCUGUUUCCCCCGAUCUUUACCAAAUUCCUGACUCAAGAGUUCCUCCCAUUUGCUUCUGACUCUCAUUUUAUUCUUAUGAUGUUUACCAUUUCUGUUCUCCUCAGUGUCCCUCUCUGAGUGGUAAGAGUAUGUUAAUAAGCCAGUGCUGAGACCAGAGCACAAGGCAACUGCUCAAUGUUGGUCAUUGUCACUGUUAUUAAAUGUAACUUAAGGGAA